CUCAGAUUGAACGCUAGCGGGAUGCCUUACACAUGCAAGUCGAACGGCAGCACGGACUUCGGUCUGGUGGCGAGUGGCGAACGGGUGAGUAAUGUAUCGGAACGUGCCCAGUAGCGGGGGAUAACUACGCGAAAGCGUAGCUAAUACCGCAUACGCCCUACGGGGGAAAGCAGGGGAUCGCAAGACCUUGCACUAUUGGAGCGGCCGAUAUCGGAUUAGCUAGUUGGUGGGGUAACGGCUCACCAAGGCGACGAUCCGUAGUUGGUUUGAGAGGACGACCAGCCACACUGGGAUUGAGACACGGCCCAGAUUCUUACGGGAGGCAGCAGUGGGGAAUUUUGGCCAAUGGGGGAAACCCUGAUCCAGCCAUCCCGCGUGUGCGAUGAAGGCCUUCGGGUUGUAAAGCACUUUUGGCAGGAAAGAAACGUCGCGGGUUAAUACCCCGCGAAACUGACGGUACCUGCAGAAUAAGCACCGGCUAAUUACGUGCCAGCAGCCGCGGUAAUACGUAGGGUGCAAGCGUUAAUCGGAAUUACUGGGCGUAAAGCGUGCGCAGGCGGUUCGGAAAGAAAGAUGUGAAAUCCCAGAGCUUAACUUUGGAACUGCAUUUUUAACUACCGGGCUAGAGUGUGUCAGAGGGAGGUGGAAUUCCGCGUGUAGCAGUGAAAUGCGUAGAUAUGCGGAGGAACACCGAUGGCGAAGGCAGCCUCCUGGGAUAACACUGCCGCUCAUGCACGAAAGCGUGGGGAGCAAACAGGAUUAGAUACCCUGGUAGUCCACGCCCUAAACGAUGUCAACUAGCUGUUGGGGCCUUCGGGCCUUGGUAGCGC
rnacentral:rRNA from 1 species